AGCUCCAAUAGCGUAUAUUAAAGUUGUUGCGGUUAAAAGCUCGUAGUUGGAUUUCUUCCAGGGGCAGUCGGUCCACACUACGUGUGCGUAUCUGAUUUGACUUUGGAAUCCUCUUGGGGAACAUCUCUGCGCUUAACUGCGUGGAAUGGUAUUCAAGACUUUUACUUUGAGGAAAUUAGAGUGUUCACGGCAGGCAAUCGCCCUGAAUACAUUAGCAUGGAAUAAUAAUAUAGGAUUUCGGUUCUAUUUUGUUGGUUUCUAGAGCUGAAAUAAUGAUUAAUAGGGACACUUGGGGGCAUUCGUAUUAUCACGUCAGAGGUGGAAUUCUUGGAUUGUGUUACGACGAACUACUGCGAAAGCAUUUGCCAAGGAUGUUUUCA
rnacentral:rRNA from 1 species